rnacentral:rRNA from 1 species
AUUGAACGCUGGCGGCAUGCUUUACACAUGCAAGUCGAACGGUAACAGGCCUUCGGGCGCUGACGAGUGGCGAACGGGUGAGUAAUGCAUCGGAACGUGCCCAGUCGUGGGGGAUAACUAUCCGAAAGGAUAGCUAAUACCGCAUACGAUCUGCGGAUGAAAGCGGGGGACCUUCGGGCCUCGCGCGAUUGGAGCGGCCGAUGUCAGAUUAGGUAGUUGGGGGGGUAAAGGCUCACCAAGCCAACGAUCUGUAGCUGGUCUGAGAGGACGACCAGCCACACUGGGACUGAGACACGGCCCAGACUCCUACGGGAGGCAGCAGUGGGGAAUUUUGGACAAUGGGCGCAAGCCUGAUCCAGCAAUGCCGCGUGCAGGAAGAAGGCCUUCGGGUUGUAAACUGCUUUUGUACGGAACGAAACGGCUCUGGUUAAUACCUGGGGCUCAUGACGGUACCGUAAGAAUAAGCACCGGCUAACUACGUGCCAGCCGCCGCAGUAACAC